rnacentral:rRNA from 1 species
CAGUAGCCGCGGUAAUACGGAGGGUGCAAGCGUUAAUCGGAAUUACUGGGCGUAAAGCGCACGCAGGCGGUUUGUUAAGUCAGAUGUGAAAUCCCCGAGCUUAACUUAGGAAUUGCAUUCGAUACUGGGAAGCUAGAGUAUGGGAGAGGAUGGUAGAAUUCCAGGUGUAGCGGUGAAAUGCGUAGAGAUCUGGAGGAAUACCGAUGGCGAAGGCAGCCAUCUGGCCUAAUACUGACGCUGAGGUACGAAAGCAUGGGGAGCAAACAGGAUUAGAUACCCCUGUAGUCCCUGUCUCUUAUAC